UUCAUUCAUUCAACAGUUUUUGCGCACUUGCUCCCGCCAGACGUGAAGCUUACAGAAGUGAGCGAGACAGUCGCGGGAGCUGCUGUCCUGGAACUUACAGCGUAGGAGGAAACAGGAACAUGUUCAGGUCUGGAUCCAGCUGCCCCUCCAGAUCCAGAUCCCAGCCCAGUGAUAGCCCCCAUCAUGCCUGAGGGAGGGAUGCCCUCCCUAGGGUCUAGUGCCUACUUCAGCAGGAAAGCCCGGCUCUCCUUCCGCCACCAGCUGCAUGACAUAGCAUCAGCCAAUGACUCCACCAUUUGAAGGGGACAACCAGGGGCUGAACCUCUAGGAAGCCUUGGCAGCCUUCCUUCCCCCCGCUUCUCAGUGAUUCCAGUUUCUGGUUCCCCCAAGUCUCUCGUGAUCUUCU